rnacentral:rRNA from 1 species
AGCGAACGCUGGCGGCAGGCCUAAUACAUGCAAGUCGAGCGCACCUUCGGGUGAGCGGCGGACGGGUGAGUAACGCGUGGGAACGUGCCCUUUGGUUCGGAACAACACAGGGAAACUUGUGCUAAUACCGAAUGUGCCCUUCGGGGGAAAGAUUUAUCGCCAUUGGAGCGGCCCGCGUUGGAUUAGGUAGUUGGUGGGGUAAAGGCCCACCAAGCCGACGAUCCAUAGCUGGUCUGAGAGGAUGAUCAGCCACACUGGGACUGAGACACGGCCCAGACUCCUACGGGAGGCAGCAGUAGGGAAUCUUGCGCAAUGGGCGAAAGCCUGACGCAGCCAUGCCGCGUGAAUGAUGAAGGUCUUAGGAUUGUAAAAUUCUUUCACCGGGGAAGAUAGUGACGGUACCCGGAGAAGAAGCCCCGGCUAACUUCGUGCCAGCAGCCGCGGUAAUACGAAGGGGGCUAGCGUUGCUCGGAAUUACUGGGCGUAAAGGGCGCGUAGGCGGAUAGUUUAGUCAGAGGUGAAAGCCCAGGGCUCGACCUUGGAACUGCCUUUGAUACUGGCUAUCUUGAGUUCGGGAGAGGUGAGUGGAAUGCCGAGUGUAGAGGUGAAAUUCGUAGAUAUUCGGCGGAACACCAGUGGCGAAGGCGACUCACUGGCCCGAUACUGACGCUGAGGCGCGAAAGCGUGGGGAGCAAACAGG